AAGGGAAUAAAAGCAGGUUGCCUGCACUAGCAACUGCAGUUUAAUGUGGUCGUCUUCCUCAAGGUGUGUCUUGUUGUUUCCGCUUUUUGCAGUAACUGUUGCUGCUGCUCACUCUUUGGGGCUGUGCUGUUUUUGUGAGCCGUAACGCUCACUGUGAAGGUUUGCGGCUUCACUCCUGAAGGCAGUGAGACCACUAACCCACCAGGAGGAACAAACAACUCCAGACGCACCGCUUUUAUGAACUGUAACACUCAUCAUGAAGGUCUGCAGCUUCGUUCCUGAGGCCAGCAAGACCACAAACCCACCGGAAGGAAGAAACUCUGGACACGUCCGAACAUCUGAAGGAACAAACUCCAGACGCACCAUCUUUAAGAACUGUUAACACUCACCGCCAGGAUCUGCGGCUUCAUUCUUCAAGUCAGCGAGGCCAAGAACCCAGCAAUUCUGGACACACCCGACCCUCCAAAAAACUGAAAAUAAAGGACAAUUAUUUAGGUCUCAUAUCCCUACAAGUUUGCAGGAAGGUUCUGCUUUGAGCUGUAUCCGUAUAAUGACAGGUGAUAUCCUGAGGACAUUCCCCAUUUGCCUCUUUGGCAUCUGAAAAAGAAUCCGGUUUCAAUUCCGAAACAUCCCAUCAUCCUAAAUGCUCUGGCACUGGCCUCUAAGCACCGUCUCCCUCCACCCCAAGAUAGUGCAUUCUUCCCCACCCACCCCCGCCUCAAUAUUCCUACUCCCUUCUCCCUCACUGGUUUUCCAGUUGGGACUCUUGCUGGUAGGGUGUCUAGAGGUGGGGUCAAAACCAUCUUAAUGGACAAAGGUAAAAGCCAUUUGAAAAAAGAGAUGGACGUGUUUUCAUUUCACUCCGAUCCUCUGCCCUGUUGAAGAGCGCUUUGUGCUUUCCAGUGCGUGUGCUAAGCUUAGGUCUGAGCACUGGCGGAUCCCAUGGGUGUGGCUCUGAGGAAAUUGACGCAGUGGACUGCUGCCGGACAUGGAACUGGAAUCCUCGAAAUCACCCCUCUAAAUGAAGCGAUAUUGAAAGAAAUUAUUGUUUGUGGAGAAUUUUAUCUAUAAACAUUCCCAAGAGGCAAAAUUUGUUUUUGUGGAACCACUUGAGUGGAACACAGGUUUGGCGCCCUCAGCAUUUGAAUCGGGUUAUGUUGUCAGGAAGAGUGCUGAAAAGAUUGAGGAAACUGUUAGUGAUAGCUCCUCAGAAAGUGAGGAAGAUGAAGAACCACCUGACCAUCGUCAGGAAGCAAGUGCAGAUUUGCCAUCAGAAUAUUGGCAAAUUCAGAAGCUGGUGAAAUAUUUAAAGGGGAAGGUCUUAUUACCCUGAGGAUGCAAGAUUCAUGCUCAUGGAGCAACCAGGCUGCCUGGUACCAACCCUCUCUCCUGGCUGGGGAGUGCGCAUGGUAAACAGCUGACACUGAGACUUGCUGCCAUUUUAUGAUUUGUAGUAUGGUGUGGAAGAAAUAACAUGGAUUUUUAAAGUGGACUUCGGUUAAACUCCAGGCUGUUUGACUUACUAGCAACGUAGCUGUUGAAACGUUACAGUUUUGAGCCCUAAUUUUCUCAACCCUUGGAAUAAAAUUAAUAUACCUGUACUACAGGACUAUUAUAAAGUUUAAGAAAACACACUUGAAACAUACAGCGUGGUUUCUGAGACAUUGUGGGUGUUUAUAAUGUGGAUUGGUUCAUUUUCAUUUCUCUCAAGUCAGAUAGCAUAUACGAGAAUAUUUUACAUAAUAAUUGGCCACGUAAUGUAUUUAAGUACUUGAAUUUGCAGGAGGGCAAGGGGAAUGGCUCACCAAAACCCAGAUUAAUAUUCAUUUCUGACGUCAGAUAGCAAGUAUUGAUGAUAUCUAGGCCUUGUGUAAAGCCGACGUCCAGAGUAUUUGUGAAAAAGCAUUUGACUCAACUCAUGUUUUCUUUCCGCUUUUCUAUGUCUUUGGUCAAAUCAGCCAAGGGCAUUUGCCAGUGGCUUUGCUUGAUUCAAUCAUUGCAGUGUAAACAUUUAUCAAAAUAUCACAUUUUACUCCACAAAAAUACACAAGUAUUCUUUGUCAAUUAAAAGUAAUUUGUAUUUUGGCUGGGCGUGGUGGCUCACGCCUGUAAUCCCAGCACUUAGGGAGGCCGAGGUGGGUGGAUCAUCUGAGGUCAGGAGAUCAAGACUAGCCUGGCCAACAUGGUGAAACCCUGUCUCUACUAAAAAUACAAAAAAAUUAGCCGAGUGUGGUGGUGGACGCCUGUAAUCCCAGCUACUUGGGAGGCUGAGGCAGGAGAAUCUCUUGAACCCAGGAGGCGGAGGUUGCAGUGAGCCAAGAUCGCACCAUUGCACUCCAGCCUGGGUGACAAGAGCAAAACUCCAUCUCAAAAAGUAAAAUAAAUAAAAUUUUGUAUUUCAGAAAGGACAUGAGCUUAUACAAAACAAGCCCAAUGCUCAACUUGGAGAUCCUUUUGGCAGGCUCUUAAUGAUUUUACCAACAUCAAUGCAAAAUGAAAAGUAUUGUUUUUUAGUCUGGACUAUUUGUCAUGAAACAAACCUCUAGACUACUGGAGAGAACAGUUAAUAUUUUGUGAGUUUUAAAAUUUCAUGUUAAGCAUGAUACUUCAUAAAUAUUAAAUAUUUUUAUGGCAUCUGUCAAUUUUUAAAAUGGUUUUUAUUUGGCAUUUAUUUUGUGUUAAUGUUUCCCUCAUUUAGUGUUUUGUAUUAUGAAAUUCCUAUAUCAGGUGCACAUUGUUUUUACAUGUUGUUGCAGUAUAUAAUUAUGUCACAUAUUCUGGCUCAUAAUAAUAAUAAAUCAUGCAUUUAUUACA